rnacentral:rRNA from 1 species
CAGUCCCGCGGGAAUACGGAGGGUGCAAGCGUUAAUCGGAAUUACUGGGCGUAAAGCGCACGCAGGCGGUCUGACAAGUCAGAUGUGAAAUCCCCGGGCUUAACCUGGGAACUGCAUUUGAAACUGUCAGGCUGGAGUCUUGUAGAGGGGGGUGGAAUUCCAGGUGUAGCGGUGAAAUGCGUAGAGAUCUGGAGGAAUACCGGUGGCGAAGGCGGCCCCCUGGACAAAGACUGACGCUCAGGUGCGAAAGCGUGGGGAGCAAACAGGAUUAGAGACCCGCGUAGUCCCUGUCUCUUAUACA